UUCCGGUUGAUCCCGCCGGAGGCUACCGCUAUUGGAGUUCGAUUAAGCCAUGCGAGUCGCGAGACUUAGAAUCUCGGCGUACCGCUCAGUAACACGUGGGUAACCUGCCCUAUGCUAGGGGAUAACCUCGGGAAACUGAGAAUAAUACCCUAUAGUUCACCACGCCUGGAACGGUGGGUGGAUGAAAGCUCCGGCGGCAUAGGAUGGGCCUGCGGCGUAUCAGGUUGUAGGGGGUGUAAUGUACCCUCUAGCCAUCUACGCGUACGGGUGUUGGGAGACAUCGCCCGGAGAUGGAUUCUGAGACACGAAUCCAGACCCUACGGGGUGCAGCAGGCGCGAAAACUUGGCAAUGCGAGAAAUCGUGACCAGGGAACUCCAAGUGCAUCGGGUAAGACCGAUGCUUUUCUUGACUCUUCAAAGGUCUUGGAAUAAGGGGUGGGUAAGGACGGUGCCAGCCGCCGCGGUAAUACCGGCGCCUCAAGUGGUAGUCGCUUUUAUUGGGCCUAAAACGUCCGUAGCCGGUUUGGUACAUUCGUGGGUAAAUCAAGGCGCUCAACGUCUUGAAUUCUGCGAGCACGGCCAGACUUGGGACCGGGUGAGGUGUGGGGUACUCUCAGGGUAGGGGUAAAAUCCUGUCAUCCUGAGAGGACCACCUGUUGCGAAGGCGCCACACUAGAACGGAUCCGACGGUCAGGGACGAAGCCUAGGGGCACGAACCGGAUUAGAUACCCGGGUAGUCCUAGGUGUAAACGCUGUGGACUUGAUGUUGGGAGUGCUCCGAGCACCCUCAGUGUCGAAGCGAAGGUGAUAAGUCCACUGCCUGGGGAGUACGGUCGCAAGGCUGAAACUUAAAGGAAUUGGCGGGGGAGCACUGCAACCUGAGGAUUGUGCGGUUUAAUUGGAUUCAACGCCGG
rnacentral:rRNA from 1 species